UUUGGGAGGCUGAGGCGGGUGGAUCACUUGAGCCCAGGAGUUUGAGACCAGUCUGGGCAACACAGUGAGACCUCAUCUCUACAAAAA
ensembl:miRNA